rnacentral:rRNA from 2 species
CGCCGCCGGUGUUGUUGUGAGAAGUUCAUUAAACCUUAUCAUUUAGAGGAAGGAGAAGUCGUAACAAGGUUUCCGUAGGUGAACCUGCGGAAGGAUCAUUG